rnacentral:tRNA from 1 species
GCCUCGGUGGCUUAGCUGGUAUAUUAAAUUAUAUUUAAUGAUAUCGACCAAAAGCACUGCCUUGGUAAGGCAGAGGUCGCGGGUUCAAAUCCCGCCCGAGGCU